rfam:Candidatus Omnitrophica bacterium CG1_02_41_171 cg1_0.2_scaffold_82215_c, whole genome shotgun sequence.
GGGCGAUUAACUCAGAGGGAGAGUGCUACCUUCACACGGUAGAAGUCGCUGGUUCAAUCCCAGCAUCGCCCA